UUGAACGGAUGACUUAGUGGCGGACGGGUGAGUAACGCGUGAGGAACCUGCCUUGGAUAGGGGACAACAGUUGGAAACGACUGCUAAUACCGCAUGACACAUAGGUGUCGCAUGGCACUUAUGUCAAAGAUUUAUCGCUGAGAGAUGGCCUCGCGUCUGAUUAGCUGGUUGGUGAGGUAAUGGCCCACCAAGGCGACGAUCAGUAGCCGGACUGAGAGGUUGACCGGCCACAUUGGGACUGAGAUACGGCCCAGACUCC
rnacentral:rRNA from 1 species